rnacentral:tRNA from 1 species
GGGGAUGUAGCUCAGAUGGUAGAGCGCUCGCUUAGCAUGCGAGAAGUCCGGGGAUCGAUACCCUGCAUCUCCA